rnacentral:rRNA from 1 species
GAUGAACGCUGGCGGCGUGCCUAAUACAUGCAAGUCGAGCGAACGGACGAGAAGCUUGCUUCUCUGAUGUUAGCGGCGGACGGGUGAGUAACACGUGGAUAACCUACCUAUAAGACUGGGAUAACUUCGGGAAACCGGAGCUAAUACCGGAUGAUAUUUUGAACCGCAUGGUUCAAAAGUGAAAGACGGUCUUGCUGUCACUUAUAGAUGGAUCCGCGCUGCAUUAGCUAGUUGGUAAGGUAACGGCUUACCAAGGCAACGAUGCAUAGCCGACCUGAGAGGGUGAUCGGCCACACUGGAACUGAGACACGGUCCAGACUCCUACGGGAGGCAGCAGUAGGGAAUCUUCCGCAAUGGGCGAAAGCCUGACGGAGCAACGCCGCGUGAGUGAUGAAGGUCUUCGGAUCGUAAAACUCUGUAUUAGGGAAGAACAUAUGUGUAAGUAACUGUGCACAUCUUGACGGUACCUAAUCAGAAAGCCACGGCUAACUACGUG